rnacentral:rRNA from 1 species
AGAGUUUGAUCAUGGCUCAGGAUGAACGCUAGCUACAGGCUUAACACAUGCAAGUCGAGGGGCAGCAUGGUCUUAGCUUGCUAAGGCCGAUGGCGACCGGCGCACGGGUGAGUAACACGUAUCCAACCUGCCGUCUACUCUUGGACAGCCUUCUGAAAGGAAGAUUAAUACAAGAUGGCAUCAUGAGUCCGCAUGUUCACAUGAUUAAAGGUAUUCCGGUAGACGAUGGGGAUGCGUUCCAUUAGAUAGUAGGCGGGGUAACGGCCCACCUAGUCUUCGAUGGAUAGGGGUUCUGAGAGGAAGGUCCCCCACAUUGGAACUGAGACACGGUCCAAACUCCUACGGGAGGCAGCAGUGAGGAAUAUUGGUCAAUGGGCGAGAGCCUGAACCAGCCAAGUAGCGUGAAGGAUGACUGCCCUAUGGGUUGUAAACUUCUUUUACAAAGGAAUAAAGUCGGGUAUGCAUACCCGUUUGCAUGUACUUUAUGAAUAAGGAUCGGCUAACUCCGUGCCAGCAGCCGCGGUAAUACGGAGGAUCCGAGCGUUAUCCGGAUUUAUUGGGUUUAAAGGGAGCGUAGAUGGAUGUUUAAGUCAGUUGUGAAAGUUUGCGGCUCAACCGUAAAAUUGCAGUUGAUACUGGAUAUCUUGAGUGCAGUUGAGGCAGGCGGAAUUCGUGGUGUAGCGGUGAAAUGCUUAGAUAUCACGAAGAACUCCGAUUGCGAAGGCAGCCUGCUAAGCUGCAACUGACAUUGAGGCUCGAAAGUGUGGGUAUCAAACAGGAUUAGAUACCCUGGUAGUCCACACGGUAAACGAUGAAUACUCGCUGUUUGCGAUAUACAGCAAGCGGCCAAGCGAAAGCGUUAAGUAUUCCACCUGGGGAGUACGCCGGCAACGGUGAAACUCAAAGGAAUUGACGGGGGCCCGCACAAGCGGAGGAACAUGUGGUUUAAUUCGAUGAUACGCGAGGAACCUUACCCGGGCUUAAAUUGCAGAUGAAUUACGGUGAAAGCCGUAAGCCGCAAGGCAUCUGUGAAGGUGCUGCACGGUUGUCGUCAGCUCGUGCCGUGAGGUGUCGGCUUAAGUGCCAUAACGAGCGCAACCCUUGUUGUCAGUUACUAACAGGUCAUGCUGAGGACUCUGACAAGACUGCCAUCGUAAGAUGUGAGGAAGGUGGGGAUGACGUCAAAUCAGCACGGCCCUUACGUCCGGGGCUACACACGUGUUACAGUGGGGGGUACAGAGGGCCGCUACCACGCGAGUGGAUGCCAAUCCCAAAAACCUCUCUCAGUUCGGACUGGAGUCUGCAACCCGACUCCACGAAGCUGGAUUCGCUAGUAAUCGCGCAUCAGCCACGGCGCGGUGAAUACGUUCCCGGGCCUUGUACACACCGCCCGUCAAGCCAUGGGAGCCGGGGGUACCUGAAGUGCGUAACCGCGAGGAGCGCCCUAGGGUAAAACUGGUGACUGGGGCUAAGUCGUAACAAGGUA